rnacentral:rRNA from 1 species
UGGGGAAUUUUGCGCAAUGGACGAAAGUCUGACGCAGCGACGCCGCGUGCGGGAUGAAGGCUCUAGGGUUGUAAACCGCUUUUACGAGGGAGUAAAUUUUGAAAGUACCUCGUGAAUAAGCAUCGGCUAACUCCGUGCCAGCAGCCGCGGUAAUACGGAGGAUGCAAACGUUGUCCGGAAUCACUGGGCGUAAAGCGCAUGUAGGUGGACUUAUAAGUGAAAGAUUAAAUAUCGACGCUCACCGUCGGAAAGGUUUUUCAUACUGUAAGUCUAGAGAGAAACAGGGGUAAGCGGAACUUUAGGUGUAGGAGUGAAAUCCGUAGAUAUCUAAAGGAACACCAAUGGCGAAGGCAGCUUACUGGGUUUCAUCUGACACUGAGAUGCGAAAGCGUGGGGAGCGAUUGGG